rnacentral:rRNA from 1 species
AAAGGGCGGGGGGGGGAGAAAAAGGGGGGGAGGGGAGAAAAAAACGGGGGGGGAAGGGGGUUUUUUUCCCCCUUUCACGGAAAAAAGGGAAUCCCCCCUGGGAAAAAUUUAAAGGUUUAAAUUCCCGGCAAACCGUUCCCCAUUUUUUUUUUUAUGGGGGGAAAAGAAGGGCUUUUUUGCUGUUCGCUGAAAAGAUAAAUCUGGCGGUUUUUUAAGCUAGUUGGGUGGGGUAAAAGGCCUACCAAAGGCGAUGANNNNNNUGGGGGCCUGAGAGGGUGAGCGGCACACUGUUAUUGAGACACGGACCAGACUCCUUACGGGAAGCAGCAGUGAGGAAUAUUGCGCAAUGGACGAAAGUCUGACGCAGCCAUGCCGCGUGAAGGAUGACGGCGCUACGCGUGUAAACCCUCUUUUUAUAUACCAAGAGACCCCUGGACACGUUCCGAAGCUGACGGUUGUAUAUGAAUUAGGCACCGGCUAACUCCGUGCCAGCAGCCGCGGUAAUACGGAGGGUGCAAGCGUUAUCCGGAUUUAUUGGGUUUAAAGGGUCCGUAGGCGGAUCAUUAAGUCAGUGGUGAAAGCCGACAGCUCAACUGUCGAACUGCCAUUGAUACUGGUGAUCUUGAGUACGGUUGAAGUAGGCGGAAUAUGACAUGUAGCGGUGAAAUGCUUAGAUAUGUCAUAGAACACCGAUUGCGAAGGCAGCCUACUAAGCCGUUACUGACGCUGAGGGACGAAAGUGUGGGGAGCGAACAGGAUUAGAUACCCUGGUAGUCCACACCGUAAACGAUGAUUACUCGGUAUUGGCUUUAUUGUCAGUGCCCAAGCGAAAGUGAUAAGUAAUCCACCUGGGGAGUACGGCCGCAAGGUUGAAACUCAAAGGAAUUGACGGGGGCCCGCACAAGCGGUGGAGCAUGUGGUUUAAUUCGAUGAUACGCGAGGAACCUUACCAGGGCUUAAAUGUAGAACGACCGGGGUGGAAACACCCCCUUUUUCGAACGGUCUACAAGGUGCUGCAUGGUUGUCGUCAGCUCGUGCUGUGAAGUGUCGGGUUAAGUCCCAUAACGAGCGCAACCCCUAUUUCUAGUUGCCAGCGGUUCGGCCGGGGACUCUAGAGAAACUGCCAGCGUAAGCUGUGAGGAAGGUGGGGACGACGUCAAAUCAUCACGGCCCUUACGUCCUGGGCCACACACGUGCUACAAUGGUGGGGACAACGAGUUGCCAACCCGCAAGGGUGAGCUAAUCUCUCAAGCCCCAUCUCAGUUCGGAUCGGAGUCUGCAACUCGACUCCGUGAAGUUGGAAUCGCUAGUAAUCGCGCAUCAGCCAUGNNCGUCGGAAUCGCCCC